rnacentral:rRNA from 1 species
GGUACAACUCUCGGCAAUGGAUAUCUCAGCUCUCACAUCGAUGAAGAAUGUAGUGAAAAGCGAUAAGUGGUGCGAAUUGCAGAAUCUCGUGAACCAUCGAGUCUUUGAACGCAAGUUGCACCUGAGGCCAUCCGAUCGAGGGCACGCCUGCUCGGGCGUCGAGC